rnacentral:rRNA from 1 species
AUUGAACGCUGGCGGCAUGCUUUACACAUGCAAGUCGAACGGCAGCGCGGGGCAACCUGGCGGCGAGUGGCGAACGGGUGAGUAAUACAUCGGAACGUACCCAGAAGUGGGGGAUAACGUAGCGAAAGUUACGCUAAUACCGCAUACGUUCUACGGAAGAAAGUGGGGGACCUUCGGGCCUCAUGCUUUUGGAGCGGCCGAUGUCUGAUUAGCUAGUUGGUGAGGUAAAGGCUCACCAAGGCGACGAUCAGUAGCUGGUCUGAGAGGACGACCAGCCACACUGGGACUGAGACACGGCCCAGACUCCUACGGGAGGCAGCAGUGGGGAAUUUUGGACAAUGGGCGCAAGCCUGAUCCAGCAAUGCCGCGUGAGUGAAGAAGGCCUUCGGGUUGUAAAGCUCUUUCGUCAGGGAAGAAACGGCUGAGGAUAAUACCUUCGGCUAAUGACGGUACCUGAAGAAUAAGCACCGGCUAACUACGU